rnacentral:ncRNA from 1 species
CAGUUGGCGAUGAAGAGAAAAGUAAAGUGGCAAGGUUCCUUACAGAGAGCUUCGAUAGCUGAGAAGAAGCGGAAAACUACUACUUGAAAAUGGCCUCUGAGCUCUGCAUUGAACGUGCGCUAAUUCGCAUUAGUAGAUGGCAGCGGGAUUUGGUAUCCGUUAUCUAUACCACAAGUCUAAAAUCCUGUUGGACCGGAUUUUGCACUUGCUGAGAUUGUCCUUGUGAAUGGGCAAUGAACCAAAGGUGGUACCACGGGAAUCGAUCCUGUCCUUUGC